UACGGAGGGUGCGAGCGUUGUCCGGAAUCACUGGGCGUAAAGGGCGCGUAGGCGGCGCGGGCAGUCAACGGUGAAAGCUUGGGGCUCAACCCCGAGUCGGCCGUCGAUACUCCCGUGCUGGAGCACUGUAGAGGCAGGUGGAAUUCCGGGUGUAGCGGUGGAAUGCGUAGAGAUCCGGAAGAACACCGGUGGCGAAGGCGGCCUGCUGGGCAGUAGCUGACGCUGAUGCGCGAAAGCGUGGGGAGCAAACAGG
rnacentral:rRNA from 1 species